UGGUGGCGAUGGCGGAGGGGUUCCACGCGUACCCAUCCCGAACACGACCGUUAAGCCCUCCAGCGCCGAUGGUACUUGGGCCGCAGGGUCCUGGGAGAGUAGGACGCCGCCA
rnacentral:rRNA from 1 species